GCGGAUGACCUGUGACUAGGGGUGAAAUUCCAAUCGAAAUCCGUGAUAGCUGGUUCUCGUCGAAAUAGUUUUAAGACUAGCGUAAGAUCAUGAUCAACUGGAGGUAGAGCUACUGAAUGUAUGAUGGCGCCGCCUUGGUGUACUGAAUACAAUUAAACUCCGAAUGCCAAUUGAUUUAUUCUUGCAGUCAGACAGUGGGGGAUAAGCUUCAUUGUCACAAGGGGAAGAGCCCAGAUCAUUAAAUAAGGUCCCUAAAAUAUGCUAAGUGGAAAAGGUUGUUAAAAUACUUAAACAGCAAGGAUGUUGGCUUAGAAGCAGCCAUCGUUUAAAGAGUGCGUAACAGCUCACUUGUCGAGUGUUUUUGCGCCGAAGAUGUAACGGGGCUAAGCAUAUUACCGAAUUUAUGGAUUAUCAUUCGUAAGAAUGAUAGUGGUAGACGAGCGUUGUAUAUGGGAUGAAGUCAAACCGUGAGGAUUGGUGGACUGUAUACAAGUGAGAAUGCCGGUG
rnacentral:rRNA from 1 species